rnacentral:rRNA from 1 species
UAGCUAGUUGGUGAGGUAAAGGCUUACCAAGGCGACGAUCUGUAGCGGGUCUGAGAGGAUGAUCCGCCACACUGGAACUGAGACACGGUCCAGACUCCUACGGGAGGCAGCAGUGGGGAAUUUUGGACAAUGGGGGCAACCCUGAUCCAGCCAUGCCGCGUGAGUGAAGAAGGCCUUCGGGUUGUAAAGCUCUUUCGGCCGGGAAGAAAUCGCAUGGGCCAAUACCCUGUGUGGAUGACGGUACCGGAAUAAGAAGCACCGGCUAACUACGUGCCAGCAGCCGCGGUAAUACGUAGGGUGCGAGCGUUAAUCGGAAUUACUGGGCGUAAAGCGUGCGCAGGCGGUUUUGUAAGACAGGCGUGAAAUCCCCGGGCUUAACCUGGGAACUGCGUUUGUGACUGCAAGGCUAGAGUACGGCAGAGGGGGGUGGAAUUCCACGUGUAGCAGUGAAAUGCGUAGAGAUGUGGAGGAACACCAAUGGCGAAGGCAGCCCCCUGGGUCGAUACUGACGCUCAUGCACGAAAGCGUGGGUAGCAAACAGGAUUAGAUACCCUGGUAGUCCACGCCCUAAACUAUGUCAACUAGGUGUUGGGUGGGUAAAACCAUUUAGUACCGUAGCUAACGCGUGAAGUUGACCGCCUGGGGAGUACGGCCGCAAGGUUAAAACUCAAAGGAAUUGACGGGGACCCGCACAAGCGGUGGAUGAUGUGGAUUAAUUCGAUGCAACGCGAAAAACCUUACCUACCCUUGACAUGCCAGGAACUUGCCAGAGAUGGCUUGGUGCCCGAAAGGGAGCCUGGACACAGGUGCUGCAUGGCUGUCGUCAGCUCGUGUCGUGAGAUGUUGGGUUAAGUCCCGCAACGAGCGCAACCCUUGUCGUUAAUUGCCAUCAUUUAGUUGGGCACUUUAACGAGACUGCCGGUGACAAACCGGAGGAAGGUGGGGAUGACGUCAAGUCCUCAUGGCCCUUAUGGGUAGGGCUUCACACGUCAUACAAUGGUCGGUACAAAGGGUUGCCAAGCCGCGAGGCGGAGCCAAUCCCAGAAAGCCGAUCGUAGUCCGGAUUGCAGGCUGCAACUCGCCUGCAUGAAGUCGGAAUCGCUAGUAAUCGUGGAUCAGCAUGUCACGGUGAAUACGUUCCCGGGUCUUGUACACACCGCUCGUCACACCAUGGGAGCGGGUUCCGCCAGAAGUAGGUAGCCUAACCGCAAGGGGGGCGCUUACCACGGCGGGGUUCGUGACUGGGGUGAAGUCGUAACAAGGUAGCCGUAGGGGAACCUGCGGCUG